UCUUUUUUGAGUCCAGAUGCGUAGAAUGAAAUCAACAACACUUUGUGAGCAUAUGGUUGCAACUAGUUUUUCUAGCAACGAGGAUGACUUAUCCUUAGGUGCCGAUCAAGAAGAGGCAUUUGCGCCGACUCGUGAUGUUGACUCUUUCAGCAUGGUUUC